GACAGAGGGUGCAAACGUUGUUCGGAAUUACUGGGCGUAAAGCGCGUGUAGGCGGCCAUCUAAGUCGGGCGUGAAAUCCCACGGCUCAACCCGUGGAAGUGCACUCGAAACUGGAUGGCUAGAGUCCUGGAGAGGAAGGUGGAAUGCUUGGUGUAGAGGUGAAAAUUCGUAGAUAUCAAGCGGAACACCGGUGGCGAAGGCGGCCUCUGGGCA
rnacentral:rRNA from 1 species